rnacentral:rRNA from 1 species
GAGUAAUGUCUGGGAAACUGCCUGAUGGAGGGGGAUAACUACUGGAAACGGUGGCUAAUACCGCAUAACGUCGCAAGACCAAAGAGGGGGACCUUCGGGCCUCUUGCCAUCAGAUGUGCCCAGAUGGGAUUAGCUUGUUGGUGAGGUAACGGCUCACCAAGGCGACGAUCCCUAGCUGGUCUGAGAGGAUGACCAGCCACACUGGAACUGAGACACGGUCCAGACUCCUACGGGAGGCAGCAGUGGGGAAUAUUGCACAAUGGGCGCAAGCCUGAUGCAGCCAUGCCGCGUGUAUGAAGAAGGCCUUCGGGUUGUAAAGUACUUUCAGCGGGGAGGAAGGUGUUGUGGUUAAUAACCGCAGCAAUUGACGUUACCCGCAGAAGAAGCACCGGCUAACUCCGUGCCAGCAGCCGCGGUAAUACGGAGGGUGCAAGCGUUAAUCGGAAUUACUGGGCGUAAAGCGCACGCAGGCGGUCUGUCAAGUCGGAUGUGAAAUCCCCGGGCUCAACCUGGGAACUGCAUUCGAAACUGGCAGGCUUGAGUCUUGUAGAGGGGGGUAGAAUUCCAGGUGUAGCGGUGAAAUGCGUAGAGAUCUGGAGGAAUACCGGUGGCGAAGGCGGCCCCCUGGACAAAGACUGACGCUCAGGUGCGAAAGCGUGGGGAGCAAACAGGAUUAGAUACCCUGGUAGUCCACGCCGUAAACGAUGUCUACUUGGAGGUUGUGCCCUUGAGGCGUGGCUUCCGGAGCUAACGCGUUAAGUAGACCGCCUGGGGAGUACGGCCGCAAGGUUAAAACUCAAAUGAAUUGACGGGGGCCCGCACAAGCGGUGGAGCAUGUGGUUUAAUUCGAUGCAACGCGAAGAACCUUACCUGGUCUUGACAUCCACAGAAGAAUCCAGAGAUGGAUUUGUGCCUUCGGGAACUGUGAGACAGGUGCUGCAUGGCUGUCGUCAGCUCGUGUUGUGAAAUGUUGGGUUAAGUCCCGCAACGAGCGCAACC